AGGAUGUGUGGUGUUGAAUGGGAGCAAUCAAGAAGUGAUGAGAGGAGAUAGAUCCAAAGAUAAUUGCUAUCUAUGGAAAUCUAGAGAUUCUAUCAACCCUCCCAAGUGUCUGUUGGCCAAGGGAGAUCAGGAAGGGAAGGUGGGACAAGGAAAACUUGAUGCCCCUCAGGUAAAAGGAGUGAAGAAGAGCAUUUCCAAGGGAACUAUGAGAAGAGUCUCAUAUCUGUCUUUAGAUAAAAGGACAGACUAUGGAAAUUGUCUGCUCAAAAGCAAUGAGCAC
rnacentral:lncRNA from 1 species